UAUCUAUUGUGGUUUUCCAAUCAAGGCCCAGGGGCUAGGGUUUCUUCAGACAAUCAGGGCCCAAGGUUAAGAUUUCUCUAGAAAUUCAAGGCCCGAGUUUAUGAUUUGCUAGAGAAAAUUGUGCGUCUGUCUUUUUCUAGGAAUUCAUUUUUUACUUUCGCAAUUAUGACGACGACUAACUGAGAAUUACUAGCAUCGUUUGGGUUUAGGGCUUUUCGAUGGCAAAGGAGAACGAAGCGGCUUCGCAAGCCACCGUCAAUGGAGACGAUACUCACGAGAUCUCUACGAUGUCGUCCAUAGGGAUCGGAAGAGGAUGUGUUUUUGCUUAGGGAAACACAUCGAGAAUGUACGAGAUCUCGAUGGUGCCGUCCGAGGGUUCCUCAUUCUCGGCGUGAUGAUAGACUUGUGUUAAUAAGGGAGCUUACUUAACCACUAUGGAGAAUUUCUUGGAUUGGAUUCCAAAAGAGUUCCUAAUAAUCCUGCAGCCAGUCAGUUUGUAGAGGCUUUGGCUAAAGCUUGGACGGAAUACAAUAACCCAAGGGCUGUAGUCAUGUUCGUGGUUCAGGCUGAUGAACGCAACAUGUAUGACCAACACUGGCUUUCUGCUCCAUUGAAAGAAAUAUAU